AUCCCAAGUGCUUGCACGUAAGUGUAAGCUGUUUCUUUGUUUAAAACGCAUAGAGAGUAAGAGCUGGGUAAGACGGGUGCCAGCCGCCGCGGUAAUACCUGCAGCUCGAGUGGUGGCCGCUAUUAUUGGGCCUAAAACGUCCGUAGCCGGUUUAAUAAAUGCCUGGGUAAAUCGUGUAGCUUAACUAUACGAAUUCCGGGUAGACUGUUAAACUUGAGACCGGGAGAAGUUAGAGGUACUCCUGGGGUAGAGGUGAAAUUCUGUAAUCCUAGGGGGACCACCAGUGGCGAAGGCGUCUGACUAGAACGGGUCUGACGGUGAGGGACGAAGCCCUGGGGCGCAAACCGGAUUAGAUACCCGGGUAGUCCAGGGUGUAAACGCUGCUUGCUUGAUGUUGGUUGGGCUCCGAGCCCAAUCAGUGUCGGAGAGAAGUUGUUAAGCAAGCUGCCUGGGAAGUACGGCCGCAAGACUGAAACUUAAAGGAAUUGGCGGGGGAGCAG
rnacentral:rRNA from 1 species